UGAGGAAUAUUGGUCAAUGGGCGCAAGCCUGAACCAGCCAUCCCGCGUGCAGGAAGACGGCGCUAUGCGUUGUAAACUGCUUUUCCAGGGGGAGAAACUUCCGUACGUGUACGGAAUUGACGGUACCCUGGGAAUAAGCAUCGGCUAACCCCGUGCCAGCAGCCGCGGCAAUACGGAGGAUGCAAGCGUUAUCCGGAUUCAUUGGGUUUAAAGGGUUAGCGUAGGCGGACUAUUAAGUCAGUGGUGAAAUCCUGCAGCUUAACUGCAGAACUGCCAUUGAUACUGAUGGUCUUGAGUUUGGUUAAGGUAGGUCGGAAUGUGUAAUGUAGCGGUGAAAUGCUUAGAUAUUACACAGAACACCAACUUAGCGUAGGCAGCUUACUGAGCCGACACUGACGC
rnacentral:rRNA from 1 species